rnacentral:rRNA from 1 species
GGGUUGUGAGGUUAAGCGACUAAGCGUACACGGUGGAUGCCCUGGCAGUCAGAGGCGAUGAAGGACGUGCUAAUCUGCGAAAAGCGUCGGUAAGGUGAUAUGAACCGUUAUAACCGGCGAUGUCCGAAUGGGGAAACCCAGUGCAAUUCGUUGCACUAUCGUUAACUGAAUACAUAGGUUAACGAGGCGAACCGGGGGAACUGAAACAUCUAAGUACCCCGAGGAAAAGAAAUCAACCGAGAUUCCCCCAGUAGCGGCGAGCGAACGGGGAGCAGCCCAGAGUCUGAAUCAGCUUGUGUGUUAGUGGAACGGUCUGGAAAGUCCGACGGUACAGGGUGAUAGUCCCGUACACCAAAAUGCACAGGCUGUGAACUCGAAGAGUAGGGCGGGACACGUGGUAUCCUGUCUGAAUAUGGGGGGACCAUCCUCCAAGGCUAAAUACUCCUGACUGACCGAUAGUGAACCAGUACCGUGAGGGAAAGGCGAAAAGAACCCCGGCGAGGGGAGUGAAAAAGAACCUGAAACCGUGUACGUACAAGCAGUGGGAGCACCUUCGGGUGUGACUGCGUACCUUUUGUAUAAUGGGUCAGCGACUUAUAUUCUGUAGCAAGGUUAACCGUAUAGGGGAGCCGCAGGGAAACCGAGUCUUAACUGGGCGUUAAGUUGCAGGGUAUAGACCCGAAACCCGGUGAUCUAGCCAUGGGCAGGUUGAAGGUUGGGUAACACUAACUGGAGGACCGAACCGACUAAUGUUGAAAAAUUAGCGGAUGACUUGUGGCUGGGGGUGAAAGGCCAAUCAAACCGGGAGAUAGCUGGUUCUCCCCGAAAGCUAUUUAGGUAGCGCCUCGUGAACUCAUCUUCGGGGGUAGAGCACUGUUUCGGCUAGGGGGUCAUCCCGACUUACCAACCCGAUGCAAACUACGAAUACCGAAGAAUGUUAUCACGGGAGACACACGGCGGGUGCUAACGUCCGUCGUGAAGAGGGAAACAACCCAGACCGCCAGCUAAGGUCCCAAAGUCAUGGUUAAGUGGGAAACGAUGUGGGAAGGCACAGACAGCCAGGAUGUUGGCUUAGAAGCAGCCAUCAUUUAAAGAAAGCGUAAUAGCUCACUGGUCGAGUCGGCCUGCGCGGAAGAUGUAACGGGGCUAAACCAUGCACCGAAGCUGCGGCAGCGACACUAUGUGUUGUUGGGUAGGGGAGCGUUCUGUAAGCCUGCGAAGGUGACCUGUGAGGGUUGCUGGAGGUAUCAGAAGUGCGAAUGCUGACAUAAGUAACGAUAAAGCGGGUGAAAAGCCCGCUCGCCGGAAGACCAAGGGUUCCUGUCCAACGUUAAUCGGGGCAGGGUGAGUCGACCCCUAAGGCGAGGCCGAAAGGCGUAGUCGAUGGGAAACAGGUUAAUAUUCCUGUACUUGGUGUUACUGCGAAGGGGGGACGGAGAAGGCUAUGUUAGCCGGGCGACGGUUGUCCCGGUUUAAGCAUGUAGGCUGGUUGUCCAGGCAAAUCCGGAUAAUCAAGGCUGAGGUGUGAUGACGAGGCACUACGGUGCUGAAGUAACAAAUGCCCUGCUUCCAGGAAAAGCCUCUAAGCAUCAGGUAACAUUAAAUCGUACCCCAAACCGACACAGGUGGUCAGGUAGAGAAUACCAAGGCGCUUGAGAGAACUCGGGUGAAGGAACUAGGCAAAAUGGUGCCGUAACUUCGGGAGAAGGCACGCUGGUGUGUAGGUGAAGCCCCCGCGGGUGGAGCUGAGACCAGUCGAAGAUACCAGCUGGCUGCAACUGUUUAUUAAAAACACAGCACUGUGCAAACACGAAAGUGGACGUAUACGGUGUGACGCCUGCCCGGUGCCGGAAGGUUAAUUGAUGGGGUUAUCCGUAAGGAGAAGCUCUUGAUCGAAGCCCCGGUAAACGGCGGCCGUAACUAUAACGGUCCUAAGGUAGCGAAAUUCCUUGUCGGGUAAGUUCCGACCUGCACGAAUGGCGUAAUGAUGGCCAGGCUGUCUCCACCCGAGACUCAGUGAAAUUGAACUCGCUGUGAAGAUGCAGUGUACCCGCGGCAAGACGGAAAGACCCCGUGAACCUUUACUAUAGCUUGACACUGAACAUUGAGCCUUGAUGUGUAGGAUAGGUGGGAGGCUUUGAAGCGUGGACGCCAGUCUGCGUGGAGCCAACCUUGAAAUACCACCCUUUAAUGUUUGAUGUUCUAACGUUGGCCCCUGACCGGGGUUGCGGACAGUGUCUGGUGGGUAGUUUGACUGGGGCGGUCUCCUCCCAAAGCGUAACGGAGGAGCACGAAGGUUAGCUAAUCCUGGUCGGACAUCAGGAGGUUAGUGCAAUGGCAUAAGCUAGCUUGACUGCGAGCGUGACGGCGCGAGCAGGUGCGAAAGCAGGUCAUAGUGAUCCGGUGGUUCUGAAUGGAAGGGCCAUCGCUCAACGGAUAAAAGGUACUCCGGGGAUAACAGGCUGAUACCGCCCAAGAGUUCAUAUCGACGGCGGUGUUUGGCACCUCGAUGUCGGCUCAUCACAUCCUGGGGCUGAAGUAGGUCCCAAGGGUAUGGCUGUUCGCCAUUUAAAGUGGUACGCGAGCUGGGUUUAGAACGUCGUGAGACAGUUCGGUCCCUAUCUGCCGUGGGCGCUGGAGAAUUGAGGGGGGCUGCUCCUAGUACGAGAGGACCGGAGUGGACGCAUCACUGGUGUUCGGGUUGUCAUGCCAAUGGCACUGCCCGGUAGCUAAAUGCGGAAGAGAUAAGUGCUGAAAGCAUCUAAGCACGAAACUUGCCCCGAGAUGAGUUCUCCCUGAGACUUUAAGUCUCCUGAAGGAACGUUGAAGACGACGACGUUGAUAGGCCGGGUGUGUAAGCGCAGCGAUGCGUUGAGCUAACCGGUACUAAUGAACCGUGAGGCUUAACCUUACAACGCCGAAG